UUAAGUGCCCCGCCUGGGGAGUACGGUCGCAAGACUGAAACUCAAAGGAAUUGACGGGGGCCCGCACAAGCGGUGGAGCAUGUGGUUCAAUUCGACGCAACGCGAAGAACCUUACCGGGGCUCGAACGGUAACUGCUACCUGCGGAAACGCAGGGUUCUCUUCGGAGACGGUUAUCGAGGUGCUGCAUGGCUGUCGUCAGCUCGUGUCGUGAGAUGUUGGGUUAAGUCCCGCAACGAGCGCAACCCUUGCCCUUAGUUGCUAACAGGUCAAGCUGAGAACCCUAGGGGAACUGUCGGCGAAAAGCCGGAGGAAGGUGGGGAUGACGUCAAGUCCUCAUGGCCCUUACGUCCCGGGCUACACACGUGCUACAAUGGUCGGUACAAANGGUCCCCCAACCCCGAAGGGGGAGCUAAUCUCAAAAAACCGAUCUCAGUUCGGAUUGCAGUCUGCAACUCGACUGCAUGAAGGCGGAAUCGCUAUUAAUCGCAAAUCACCAUGCUGCGGUGAAUACUUCCCGGGCCUUGUAACACCGCCCUCACAUCACAAAAUGGGUUGUACUAAAAUC
rnacentral:rRNA from 1 species